GCUCCGGUGGCAUAGUGAUUGGAGCAUCCGCCUCGGAUGCGGGAACUCGUGGGUUCGAUCCCCGGUUGAGUCA